UGGGCAACAGUGGAUCAGAGCACCACAGAGAAGUGAAAUAUGCCCACUGCAUCCAGGCAAGAUUAAGACCUCAUUUCACAAAGUUCUGUGAAACACUAUCUUUGAACUUAAUCACUCCUACAAUCCCUUGCAGAAGAUAAGUGACUAUGCACAAGUUCUGAUUGCUUAGUAAGACUAGACAAACUUUCCCCACAAGUGGGAAGAAUUUGGAAAUGAGAACAUGAGUGA
rnacentral:lncRNA from 1 species